rnacentral:misc_RNA from 1 species
GUCGAGUUUAAAUCGAGCGUGUACUCAUUUGAACGUCACCCUUCUGCAUCCUUGCAGUACACCUGUGCACUGAUUUAGCCUGUAGCACGGUACACGGUCAGGUUAUCAUUUCAUACAAAUUAGUCUUGCUGAAUGUAAGUUAACUAACAUAAGUUA